AGAGAAGGUUUGUAUUGUACUUCAUAUGAAAUCAUUCGGAUCAUUUUUAAGGUCAUACUUGUUUGUCACAUUUUUGGUGGAGUUCAUCAUAUGAAAAAAUUCUAAUAUCUUUCUGAUGCCUUCAAUUACAGGUCUGACUUGUUUUUUGACAGUAGUAUCCAACGGCAUCCACCAUACAGUUGAACUCUUCUGGCAUUGGUCGGGAAACUGUCAAAAUUCAUCACUAAUCCUUUGCUCAGGACUGCAGCCGGUCGUUAUGGAUGUCUGCCGGAUGUACGUCCAGUCAACUAUCGGGGGACUCUGCUGUCUAGCCAUAGUUGGGGACAGGCCAGCAGGCAGCAACCACGCCUGACAGGACAGGGCCUCCGCAGCUGGCUCAUUUACUGAGCAGAAAUGAAGUCAGUCUUCACUGAAAUUCCAUGCCGUAAUCGUCCCGUUCCUCGGAAGCCAAAGAAUUCAGACGGCAAAGCAGAGUUCGAAGGAUCUUUUGGACAUGUGCUUGUCAUUAUCCAUUGAGGAAAAGCUCUGAGUGAGUGUAAGGGAAAUCCUCAAGGCAUAUAUCAGUCAUAGACUGGCGGAACAUUUGCCCUCACACAUCCUUUUUCAAAACAUGAAUUUGUGUUGCUGAGUUAUGCCUGAAACUGGCCUGAGACAGAGAGGGGAUAUCAGCACUUCAUCAGCACAAGUUAACUUUCUGUAAAAGAGUUUCAUCAGUGCUGGAUCCGUCAUCAUGGGAUGAUAAUGGAUGAACUGGACAUUUUACUGGUAAACGAGAGCUGUACUUGCCCAAGACGGCUGACUAACUGAAACGGGUUCUUUGGACUUGGUUUCUGGUGUAUUUUUAAAGAGAUGUGAAGUCCUUAUUUUAUAUUUAAGAGUUGCCUGGCUAUCUUUUUAAAUGGAGAGGAGGAGCUUUAGGACUGAACUGAGAAUGUUUCACCCGCUUAAGCACUGAUUAGUCCUCUUCCAAACCUUUCAGUGCUGCCCUCAGGAGUGAUUCCUUGAUACAUGCUUCAUGGCAUAAGAUGUUUUACUUACAGCAACACUGCAUUUUUAUGGUCCUGCUAGACACCAAAAUUAAAAUAUUUUUUUUCCCCUGCCUUUUCUUGGAACAGCAGCCAUACUGGUACUGUAUCAGUUUUGGACUACAGGGAAAAAUAAUCAUAACAUUUAAAAAAAAACCCACUGGUUUUAAUUUCAUUUCAUUUCAUCAUGUGGUAUUCAUUAGUCUUAAUCAGUUAAAGUUGAAUCUAAUUUUGACUACCAUAUAAUUUAGCUUGACAUUUUAGCUUGAAUGUACAAUGCAUCUAAAUAUUAAAACAAUUUAAGUAUUAAUUAUUAACCUGUAUUAAUUUAAACCUUUAAACCAGUCAGGUUUUAGGUUAAAUACCUAAAAUAAUUUCUGUGGUAAAUCUGAUGUUUUUCAGUCUACAACGUGAAAUAUAUCAGUAAAUUCCCCCCUGUGAUUGAAAAUGCAGUUGUUAACAAGAGGAAAAGGUUUUUUAAAUGAAGACUUUUUGCUUCUGCCAGUUGUAUUUAGUCUUUUUUUGUGGAAAGAAGGUGACGCAUUUGGACUAGUGCAUAAUAUCAUAUUUGUUAGUGCGUUUGUGCCCUUUUGUUGUUACGCAUAUUUUGGAUUAUUAUAUGCAUAGUCAUUUUUCAUUAUAUAUUUCAUCAACAUUUAUUCAUGUACAUUUUCGGUCACGUCUAAUAAUUGACCUUUUUAUUAAUGGAUUUUUGUCCAUAAUCUUAUUGAAGAGAUUGCUAGCGCUAGUUUGUCUGUGCAUGACAACUGAAAUGCUUGACUUGAAAUUUCUCCUUUAUUUACAAUAAGUGAGCAAAGUACGUUUAGAAUAUAUUUCCAGCUGUCAAGUUCACUCAGAAGUCAUGAGCUAAGUGGCCUCAGAGCCUUUCAAGGCUCCGGUUCUGUGACCGUGGAUAUGCUUAGUUUCAUUCACCGAGCUGAUGCUAGAACUGACAGAGGAUGGAGGGUCUUCCAGCCAGUGAAAUGUGCUUCUGCCACUUUUGUCUACUGUGCUCAUAAAGUUCAACCAUAUAUGCGUGGACAGAGGCUCCUUGUGAAAAACAAGAUGGCCAUGCAGAACUUUGCCAAGAGAAACAUAAGUAGACAGAAAAGCGUGCACAUGCCUGAGGAACAUUCUUCUCUUCAUGGCAGAUCCAUCAUUUUUGAGUUCCACAUGGUUUGUGUCUGAAACGUUAUGCAGUGUAUUAUAACGCGUUGGGUUUGUAAAGUUUGUUUAACCUUUCUUCUCCCUCUCUGAACCUGAUACGUUGUUUUAUUGCUGAUUGACUUGUCUGAUAUGAUCCAUUUCUUACUUUUUAUGCAAGUUGGUGCUGUAAUGCCAUCUUAAGAAAACACUGCCAUGCAAAAACGGUUCGUUAAAUUAGUUAGAGUGCUUUUAUUUGCUUAAUAUACAUGCAAAAUCUGUCAGAUGUAUUCAAACGCAGCAAUACUAUCUAUAAAAACUGAGACUUGGGAUUAUUUGUGGUGUUUUUCAUUCACAUUUAUGCAGAGAAUUUGAAGAAUACAGAACGUCCGGUCUGAACCCACAUACAUAUACAUGUGCUUUUCAUGUCAGCAAGGUUUAAUAUCACUCAAAAUGUAUUAUGCUGAAUAAUUUGGUUGCACAGAAAUGCAAACUCUCAGCCAAAACAGUUUUCCGUCUUAUUUUUCAUUCAGGUAUGGUGUAGAUAGUAACAUCUGACUUGGCUCUACACAGUGGCAAAGCCCAAUGCUUAAUCUGAUGUAUAUU